CCUACGGGUGGCAGCAGUGAGGAAUAUUGGUCAAUGGGCGCGAGCCUGAACCAGCCAAGUCGCGUGAAGGAAGAAUGCCCUACGGGCUGUAAACUUCAUUUAUAAAGGAAUAAAGUGAGGCACGUGAGCAUUUUUGUCUGUCCUAUAUGAAUCAGGAUCGGCCAACUCCGUGCCAGCAGCCGGGGUAAUACGGAGGAUCCGAGCGUUAUCCGGAUUUAUUGGGGUUAACGGGAGCGUAGAUGGGUUGUUAAGCCAGUUGUGAAAGUUUGCGGCUCAACCGUAAGACUGCAAUUGAUACUGGCAGGCUGGAGUACAGUUGAGGCAGGCGGAAUUCGUGGUGUAGCGGUGAAAUGCGUAGAUAUCACGAAGAACGCCGAUUGCGAAGGCAGCUUACUAAACUGCCACUGACAUUGAUGCUCGAAAGUGUGGGUAUCAAACAGGAUUAGAUACCCGGGUAGUC
rnacentral:rRNA from 1 species